rfam:Homo sapiens chromosome 6, GRCh38 reference primary assembly.
CCAAAGGCCCUUUUCAGGGCCGCCCACUUUUUUCAUAAAAGAGCAG